ACCCCCCGCUUGGUGACAAGCGGAGGGACAUUACCGAGUUUACAACUCCCAAACCCCUGUGAACAUACCACUUGUUGCCUCGGCGGAUCAGCCCGCUCCCGGUAAAACGGGACGGCCCGCCAGAGGACCCCUAAACUCUGUUUCUAUAUGUAACUUCUGAGUAAAACCAUAAAUAAAUCAAAACUUUCAACAACGGAUCUCUUGGUUCUGGCAUCGAUGAAGAACGCAGCAAAAUGCGAUAAGUAAUGUGAAUUGCAGAAUUCAGUGAAUCAUCGAAUCUUUGAACGCACAUUGCGCCCGCCAGUAUUCUGGCGGGCAUGCCUGUUCGAGCGUCAUUUCAACCCUCAAGCACAGCUUGGUGUUGGGACUCGCGUUAAUUCGCGUUCCUCAAAUUGAUUGGCGGUCACGUCGAGCUUCCAUAGCGUAGUAGUAAAACCCUCGUUACUGGUAAUCGUCGCGGCCACGCCGUUAAACCCCAACUUCUGAAUGUUGACCUCGGAUCAGGUAGGAAUACCCGCUGAACUUAAGCAUAUCAAUAGGGGGGAGGGGAAA
rnacentral:rRNA from 1 species